GCCUGUGUGGUGCACUGUUUUGAGUGUUGGACUAUGACUCUAAAGACCAGAGUUCGAAUCCCUGCUCAGCA